GACGGGGGGGGGCAAGUGUUCUUCGGAAUGACUGGGCGUAAAGGGCACGUAGGCGGUGAAUCGGGUUGAAAGUGAAAGUCGCCAAAAAGUGGCGGAAUGCUCUCGAAACCAAUUCACUUGAGUGAGACAGAGGAGAGUGGAAUUUCGUGUGUAGGGGUGAAAUCCGUAAAUAUACGAAGGAACGCCAAAAGCGAAGGCAGCUCUCUGGGCUCC
rnacentral:rRNA from 1 species